rnacentral:misc_RNA from 1 species
AGAAAGCAAAACACCAUUACUCACUGAGCAAUCCUGCAGUAUAGAAAGCGCCUUCUCGGGGUUUCUUUUACAGAGGGGUUGAAUUAAUGAAUCAAAUAAGCGUUUCUCCAUCUGGGUAUUCUUCUCCUUCAAGCACUGAACUGCCUCAUCAUAUUUAUCCUCUUUGACAAGCGCUUCUAUGAAAAUUCUGCGUGUCUUGGAAUCUCCUUUGAAUUGGUUUGAUUUCACCAAAUGUAUGAUUAGUUUGAAUCUUUU